AUUGAACGCUGGCGGCAGGCCUAACACAUGCAAGUCGAGCGGAUGAAGGGAGCUUGCUCCUGGAUUCAGCGGCGGACGGGUGAGUAAUGCCUAGGAAUCUGCCUGGUAGUGGGGGAUAACGUCCGGAAACGGGCGCUAAUACCGCAUACGUCCUGAGGGAGAAAGUGGGGGAUCUUCGGACCUCACGCUAUCAGAUGAGCCUAGGUCGGAUUAGCUAGUUGGUGGGGUAAAGGCCUACCAAGGCGACGAUCCGUAACUGGUCUGAGAGGAUGAUCAGUCACACUGGAACUGAGACACGGUCCAGACUCCUACGGGAGGCAGCAGUGGGGAAUAUUGGAUAAUGGGCGAAAGCCUGAUCCAGCCAAGCCGCGUGUGUGAAGAAGGUCUUCGGAUUGUAAAGCACUUUAAGUUGGGAGGAAGGGCAGUAAGUUAAUACCUUGCUGUUUUGACGUUACCAACAGAAUAAGCACCGGCUAACUUCGUG
rnacentral:rRNA from 1 species